rnacentral:rRNA from 1 species
CUUCCGUACCGGUACCUGCGGAAGGAUCAUUACCUAGAGUUGUAGGCUUUGCCUGCUAUCUCUUACCCAUGUCUUUUGAGUACCUUACGUUUCCUCGGUGGGUUCGCCCACCGAUUGGACAAAUUUAAACCCUUUGCAGUUGAAAUCAGCGUCUGAAAAAACUUAAUAGUUACAACUUUCAACAACGGAUCUCUUGGUUCUGGCAUCGAUGAAGAACGCAGCGAAAUGCGAUAAGUAGUGUGAAUUGCAGAAUUCAGUGAAUCAUCGAAUCUUUGAACGCACAUUGCGCCCCUUGGUAUUCCAUGGGGCAUGCCUGUUCGAGCGUCAUUUGUACCUUCAAGCUCUGCUUGGUGUUGGGUGUUUGUCUCCUGUAGACUCGCCUCAAAACAAUUGGCAGCCGGCGUAUUGAUUUCGGAGCGCAGUACAUCUCGCGCUUUGCACUCAUAACGACGACAUCCAAAAGUACAUUUUUACACUCUUGACCUCGGAUCAGGUAGGGAUACCCGCUGAACUUAAGCAUAUCAAUAAGCCGGGAGGAAA